rnacentral:piRNA from 2 species
UUCUGAUUCAUGUGAUCCCCUCCAAG